rnacentral:lncRNA from 1 species
UACUAUGCUAUGCUUAUAAAGGAUCUAGCGCUUUUAAUUUUUUGGCCCUUAAAUCAACUCUUUUGAUCAUUUCUAAUCUUUGGAUUAAUACUAUUACCUUGUGGCCGGGAACCACUCAACCUAGGUGUACUACUCAACCCUAGGGAGGAACCGCAAUCAUUCCAACCGUACAAUUCUUGAUCCAAGAGUCAAAAAGUCAGAAUCAUUAAAUCCUCUAUGCUUCCGAUAGCACAGUAGUAGCUGUACACUACACAAUCCUAAGGGGGAGUGCAAUCAUUCCAGCCAUACAAUUUUUAAUCCAAAGGUCAAAAAGUCGGAAGCAUUAAAUACUCUGUACUUCUGAUAGCAUAGUAGCUUUACACUAUAUAUAUAUAUAUAUAUAUAUAUAUAUAUAUAUAUAUAUAUAUAUAUAUAUAUAUAUAUAUAUAUAUAUAUAUAUAUAUAUAUAUAUAUAUAUAUAUAGAGAGAGAGAGCUACUAUGCUAUGCUUAUAAAGGAUCUAGCGCUUUUAAUUUUUUGGCCCUUAAAUCAACUCUUUUGAUCAUUUCUAAUCUUUGGAUUAAUACUAUUACCUUGUGGCCGGGAACCACUCAACCUAGGUGUACUACUCAACCCUAGGGAGGAACCGCAAUCAUUCCAACCGUACAAUUCUUGAUCCAAGAGUCAAAAAGUCAGAAUCAUUAAAUCCUCUAUGCUUCCGAUAGCACAGUAGUAGCUGUACACUACACAAUCCUAAGGGGGAGUGCAAUCAUUCCAGCCAUACAAUUUUUAAUCCAAAGGUCAAAAAGUCGGAAGCAUUAAAUACUCUGUACUUCUGAUAGCAUAGUAGCUUUACACUAUAUGUAUGAAAAGUAUAUCUAUUAUUCAUUGAGAUAAUAUGUAUUUUCUUAAUUAUUGGGAGUGAGAGAAAAGUAAGGCCAUACAAUUUUUAAUCCAAAGGUCAAAAAGUCGGAAGCAUUAAAUACUCUGUACUUCUGAUAGCAUAGUAGCUCUACACUAUAUGUAUGAAAAGUAUAUCUAUUAUUCAUUGAGAUAAUAUGUAUUUUCUUAAUUAUUGGGAGUGAGAGAAAAGUAAGGAGCUACCUAUUUCGUUUAUUUUUUAGAAAUAAAAUCAGCCAGUGUUAAAUAUGUCUCAAAAUUUAAUUGUCGAGUUUGAUUUUCUGCCCCUAAUUCACCAACAGUUUCUCAGUAGAAUAAAUUUAAGAAAAAAAUAAAUUGUGAAGGAAG